AAGAGAAACGUAAAUGACAAAAAGGAUUUGACAAUAUAAUUAUAUGCGAAUAGCAUUUUGGUGCUAAAGCAUUCAAGUAAUCUUCUUCUUGAUAGUAGUUGUUUGUAACAUCUUUUGCAAAGUCAAAACUAAUACUAAUAUUUUACAUUUUUUUUUAAAACUUUUAACUAUAAUAGAAGGGUGAGUUAUGGACUGAGAUCGACAUGUCAGUUUUGUGUCUUUAAAAUUCAUGUCGAGGGUGUUAUGGUAAUUUCACUUUAAAUCCACUUUACCAUGUCUCUAACAGUUUGCCGACUUCCAAACAAACCCAUGUCUUAGUUUGCCCGCUUCCAGAAAAUACUCGGAGUUUUUUUCACCCCUUCAACUAGUUUUACAAGUUCAAGUAUGUUCCUCUUAAGUUUUUGUCGAAAUCUUCUAUUUCUACUUCUGAUCUUUUUUUACAUUUUCAAGUUCUCUUCAGAUUUCUCAUUUUCGUGGUUGAAUUUCAUGGCUAUUGAAGGAAAGAUAAAACUUUUAGGGCAUAAGUAUUCACAAGCUAUUGCUCUGUACAUACAAGUGAUUGAGUUGAAUAGUGAGAAUGUGGUGUAUUGGGCUAAUCGUGUGUUUGCUCACACCAAAUUGAAGGAAUAUUGCAGCAUAAUAUAGGACGGAGCCAAAGCUAUUGAAAUUGUCCCCAAAUAUUCAAAGGUUGUUUCUGGUGCUGUGGGCUUAAUUUCUGAUGGUGAUCGGGGUUGCAUGGUGAUCGCACUCAAGAAUUUUCAACAGGUGGUGCUACACCUUCUCACUCGGGAAUUGGUAACUUUAAGUUCCUGUCCCCUGCCAAGAUCAGCUGAAAUUUUCAAUGCGGGGAGUGAUGAGUGAUGAAUUCAAAAAUCUGGAAGAUGGAAAGAUCAAAAGGCAUGGAACAACCCAUGACAAGCUGGAUUGGUUGACAUAGCGACACUUGAAAGGCUCAAGACUCUCAGUCCUUCCUACUAUUUUGUCGAGUAAAAAGGGUGUGCACUAUGCUAGGAAAUAAUAACAUGAAACUAUGUUUCCUUGGUAAUAGUGAUUACCAUCAUUUAGCGAAUUCAUGAGUAGAAAUCGCAAGACAGGAAAGGUGUAAUCCACUUUGAAGCUUAUUUGAUUUUCGGGCUUUUUCUUUUUUGUACACAUGACAGAAAUUAUACAACGAAGACUCGGUCAGAUAAGAUGGGCUCAUUUAGUUAUUUUGAUUUCAAUACUGA